GUGAGAGACAGAGAGAAAGGUCUUCCUUUUGCCGUUGGUUCACCCUCCAAUGGCAGCCACGGCUGGCGCGCUGCAGCCGGCGCACCGCACUGAUCCAAUGGCAGGAGCCAGGUGCUUCUCCUGGUCUCCCAUGGGGUGCAGGGCCCAAGCACUUGGGCCAUCCUCCAUUGCCUUCCCGGGCCACAGCAGAGAGCUGGCCUGGAAGAGGGCAACCGGGACAGAAUCCGGCGCCCCAACUGGGACUAGAACCCGGUGUGCCGGCGCCGCAAGACGGAGGAUUAGCCUACUGAGCCGCGGCGCCAGCCCUUAAUUUUGUCUUAAUUAAAACUGAAAGUAGGGAUGGGUAUUGUGGCACAGUAGGAUAAGCCUCUCCUUGGAGUGCCCACAUCUUCUAUCAGAGUACCUGGGAUUGUGUCCCAGCUACUCCACUUCUGAUCCAGGUUCCUACUAGUGUGUCUGGGAAGCAGCAGAUGAUGGCCCAAGUACUUGGGUUUGUGCCACCCUCUUGGAAGACUUGGAGUUUCUGGCUCCUGGCUUUGCCCUGGCUAUUGUGGGCAUUGAGGAGUGAAUAAGCAGAUGGAAAAUCUCUUCCUGCCUCUCCCUCUCUCUCUCUGCCAGUCUUCCUUUCCAAUAAAUAACUCUUUUUUAAUAAACUGAAAAUAUUCCUAGCCUAUUUAACAAUUAUCUCAAUACUAUUAAUUGAAAAAUUCAUCUAUUUUACACUGAAAUGAAAUGCCCCUUGUGGUAGACCAUGUCUAGUCUUGAUUACUGAAAGACCUGAAGUAAACAUGAAUAUAAAACUCCAAGGCCCUGCACUGUGGCAUAGCAGGUAAAGCUGUUGCCUGUGGAGCCAGCGUCCUCUCUGAGGAAAGAUUUGAGUCCUGGCUAUUCCACUUCCAGUCCAGCAUCCCUGCUAAUGUUCCUGGGAAAGCAGUGGAAGAUGGCCCAAGUGCUUGACCUUUGAACCCAUAUGAGAGACUCAAAAGAAGCUCUUGGCUUUGGAUCAGCUCAGCUCCAGCUGUUGUAGCCAUUUGGGGAGUGAACCAGUGGGUGGAAGAAAUCUCUCUCUCUCUACCUGUUCCUCUCUCUGUGUAAGUCUGCCUUACAAAUAAAUAAAAUAAAUCUUAAAAAUAAAAAGGAAAACUCUAAGAUGUUAUAACUAGGUAAAACUAGAUUGCCCAAAAUACUGGCAAUAUGAAUUUUCAAGGCCUAGAACUUGUGUAUUAGGCCUGAGUGACAUGGUUUACUGAAAAGCAGUGAUAAUGCUUUAUUUAGUGGUGAAUCUGUUUCUGGUGCAGAAAUAGGCAAGGCUGUACAAGGCAGUGAGCACUCAAAUCUGGUGGAUAUUUCAUUCUGUACAGGUUGCCAAAACUGAUGAACUUGGGGGAUGCCUUUAUGAGAAUGUAAGAAAGGCAAUGGGGAUCCUCACCCACAUGCAUCCUCACCUCACUAACAUCCUAUGUAUCCUAACUGCUAAAUUUCUCAGGAGUCUGGAGGGUGAACCAACGGCAAAAGGAAUACCUUUCUCUCUGUCUCUCUCUCUCACUUUCCAUUCUGCCUGUCCAAAAAAAAAAAAAAAAAAAAAAAAAUUCUCAGGAGUCAACUAAAAUAAUUGGAACCUUAAAUAGAGUCCCUAUCAACAUUUUCAUCCACCUCUCAACCUAGAGUUUAUCUCACUCCAUAAAUUCCAUAUAUAAAUUCCAUAUAUAUGUAGGUCUGUUUUUGGAUUCUUCAUUCUAGCAUAUUAACAUUUUUAUCCCUUUAUCAGCCUUAUGCUGUUUUAUUUCUUGUUGCCUUAUAUUUUGAUAGAAUAUUGGGCUAAUCUCCCACUUCAUUCUUCUUCAAAACAAUCUAGAAUGUGCUGCCAUAAAUUUUAGAAACAAGCUGUCAGACUAUGAGGAGUUCUAUAGAUAUUUUGGUUUUUGGUAGAAUUGGAAAAGAAUUUAUAGGAUAACUAGAGAACUGACUUGUGGUAUUUGGGAAAGUUGCUUAUUUCUUGUUUGUUGAUCUUAAAUCUGACCAUAUCACUUAACUUCUGGAUUUUAUGUGUAGAUUCUCAUAUCACCAAGAUUUUAUCUAUAUAUAUAUAAUGAUUAUAUACUAUAAUAUAUAUAUAAUGAUUAAAAGUCAUACUCUGAAAUCAGACUGCUUGGGUUUAUUUUCUGGAUCUACCAUUUACUAGCCAAGUAACUCAACACCUCUAUUAUUUCAUCUCAUCUUUAAGGAUAGAUCUGGGGUCCAGCACUGUAGUGUAGCAGGUAAAGCUACCACCUGCAGUACUGCCAUCCCAUAUGGGCACCAGUUUGAGUCCUGGCUGCCCCUCUUCCGAUCCAGCUCUCUGCUAUGGCCUGGGAAAGCAGUAGAGGAUGGCCCAAGACCUUAGGUCCCUGCACCUGCCUGGGAGACCUGGGAAAAGCUCCUGGCUCCUGGCUCCUUGCUUCAGAUCAGAUCUGCACAGUUCCAGCCCUUGCAGACAAUUGGGGAGUGAGCCAGCAGAUGAAAGACCUCUCUCUCUGUCUGUGCCUCUGCCUUUCUGAAACUCCGCCUUCCAAAUAAAUAAAUAAAAUCUUUAAAAAAAAAUAAAUCUGAUACUAAUGCCUACUUUGUAAGGUGACUUUAUUUUUUAAAAAAUUUUUUUAUUUGACAGGUAGAGUUAUAGACAGAGAGAGACAAAGAGAAAGGUCUUCCUUCCGUUGGUUCACCCUCCAAAUGACCGCUACAGCCGGCACUGCGCCGAUCUGAAGCCAGGGGCCAGGUACUUCUUCCUGAUCUCCCAUGCAGGUGCAGGACCCAAACACUUGGGCCAUCCUCCACUGCCUUCCUGGGCCACAGCAGAGAGCUGGACUGGAAGAGGAGCAACCGGGACUAGAACCCAGUACCCAUAUGGAAUGCUGGCACCGCAGGUGGAGGAUCAACCAAGUGAGCCACCACGCCGGCCCAUAAGGUGACUUUAAAGAUCAAAUGAGUCAAAGCAUUUCAUAUAAAAAUGUAAUCACCAAGAGGGAAGAGAAUUUGGAUUGUUUCCCACUUGGCCCCAAUGUCCAGGACAGUGCCUUCUACACAGGCCAGGAGAAAGCCCUCUGGAAGGAGUUUCCUGUGUGUGUCCUGCCCACAGGCCCUGGAGGAAAUGAGGACUUGUACCGCAAGGAUCUUCACCACCAGAGGAAUGCUGAAGGUUGGGAAGUCCAAGAUGAAGGCUCUGACAGACUUGUUUGCUGGGCUUAGGAUACACAGGUGAACAAAACAGCUGGAGAUCUCUGCCCUGGUGAGGCUCGGCAGGGGGGAAGAGCCAACGUGGUAUGACAUCAAGUGAUUGACGCUUUGGAAAGAUGGCAUCACCUGCCCCCGAGUGGUCAGGGUGGUUACUACGGCACCAGGAACUUAGCCCUGGCAGAUGUGGAAUCUGUGACCAAGGCCUCAGGAUGACUUGAGACCUCCCCACACACACCUGACACCAGGCCUCGAACUGCUGUUGCAUCUGCUCAAGGAUUUCUUUCUCAUUCUGGAAUUCCGUAGCACCAAACCUUUAUCAAGGGCCUCCUGAAUCUCUGAUGACUGAGUGAGCUUCCAGCCUGUGGGCCCCUGAGACAUAAGAUGUCCAGCUCUCAGCCUAUAGUGUGGCCUUCACCAUGGCUAUCAGGGCCUUCUCCCAUUGCACGUGCUACGUGUGGUCGUGUACGGAGAUCACGAUCGUCUGUGACUUCAUGAGACCUACCU